rnacentral:rRNA from 1 species
CCUACGGGUGGCAGCAGUGAGGAAUAUUGGUCAAUGGACGAGAGUCUGAACCAGCCAAGUAGCGUGAAGGAUGACUGCCCUAUGGGUUGUAAACUUCUUUUAUAUGGGAAUAAAACGUUCCACGUGUGGGAUUUUGUAUGUACCAUAUGAAUAAGGAUCGGCUAACUCCGUGCCAGCAGCCGCGGUAAUACGGAGGAUCCGAGCGUUAUCCGGAUUUAUUGGGUUUAAAGGGAGCGUAGGUGGAUUGUUAAGUCAGUUGUGAAAGUUUGCGGCUCAACCGUAAAAUUGCAGUUGAAACUGGCAGUCGUGAGUACAGUAGAGGUAGGCGGAAUUCGUGGUGUAGCGGUGAAAUGCUUAGAUAUCACGAAGAACUCCGAUUGCGAAGGCAGCUCACUGGACUUCAACUGACACUGAGGCUCGAAAGUGUGGGUAUCAAACAGGAUUAGAUACCCCAGUAGUC